GGACCCGCACAAGUAGUGGAGCAUGUGGUUUAAUUCGAAGAUACGCGCAGAACCUUACCAACACUUGACAUGUUCGUCGCGACUUUAAGAGAUUAAAGUUUUCGGUUCGGCCGGACGAAACACAGGUGCUGCAUGGCUGUCGUCAGCUCGUGUCGUGAGAUGUUGGGUUAAGUCCCGCAACGAGCGCAACCCUCACUUUUAGUUGCCAUCAUUUAGUUGGGCACUCUGAAAGAACUGCCAGUGAUAAGCUGGAGGAAGGUGGGGAUGACGUCAAGUCCUCAUGGCCCUUACGUGUUGGGCUACACACGUGCUACAAUGGUAUCUACAACAGGAAGCAAAACAGCGAUGUUAAGCAAAUCCCAUAAACCGUGGCUCAGUUCAGAUCGUAGGCUGCAACUCGCCUACGUGAAGGAGGAAUC
rnacentral:rRNA from 1 species